rnacentral:sRNA from 2 species
GUUGAUAACAAGCCUAAUUCUGAAACAGAAACGGGGGAACCAAAUUGGGGGCUAAUCUCUAUAGUUAUCAGUAGAGAAGGACAUCUCUCAGUCCUAGCCCGUCAGCUAACCUCGUCGGCUUUGGGAGGAAAC